AGAGUUUGAUCCUGGCUCAGCACGAACGUUGUCGGCGUGCCUAACACAUGCAAGCCAAGGGGCCCGCCUUCACGCGGGUAACCGGCGAACGGGUGAGUAACGCGUGAGCAACCUACCCCAAGGAGGGGGAUAACCCCCCGAAAGGGGGGCUAAUACCCCAUAAGCGCACUACCCGCAUGGGUUGUGUGUAAAGGCUGGCCUCUGGAUCUCCAAGCUGGCGCCUUGGGAUGGGCUCGCGUCCCAUCAGGUAGUUGGUGGGGUAACGGCCUACCAAGCCUAUGACGGGUACCUGGCCUGAGAGGGUGGCCAGGCACACCGGGACUGAGACACGGCCCGGACUCCUACGGGAGGCAGCAGUGGGGAAUCUUGGGCAAUGGGUGAAAGCCUGACCCAGCGACGCCGAGUGGGGGAUGAAGCCCUUCGGGGUGUAAACCCCUGUCGGGGCGGACGAAGCACCCGGGGGUUAAAAGCCCCCGGGUGUGACGGUACGCCCAGAGGAAGGGACGGCUAACUACGUGCCAGCAGCCGCGGUAAUACGUAGGUCCCAAACGUUGUGCGGAAUUACUGGGCGUAAAGUGCGCGUAGGCGGCCUGGUAAGUCGGAGGUGAAAGUCCACCGCUCAACGGUGGAAUUGCCUCCGAUACUGCUAGGCUAGGAUCCGGACGAGGCCGGCGGAAUUCCCGGUGUAGCGGUGAAAUGCGUAGAUACCGGGAGGAACACCAGAGGGGAAGUCGGCCGGCUAGGACGGUAUCGACGCUGAGGCGCGAAAGCGUGGGGAGCAAACCGGAUUAGAUACCCGGGUAGUCCACGCUGUAAACGCAUGGGUGCUAGGCGUAUGGGCAAUAAGCCCAUGUGCCGAAGGUAACCCGUUAAGCACCACGCCUGGGGAGUACGGCCGCAAGGCUGAAACUCAAAGGAAUUGACGGCGGCCAGCACAAGCGGUGGAGCAUGUGGUUUAAUUCGAUGCUACGCGCAGAACCUUACCAGGGCUUGACAUGGCGGCUUAAGCCCGCCCGAAAGGGUAGGGUGGGGCCGGCCUUCUGGCCGGCCCAGCCGCCACAGGUGGUGCAUGGCCCUCGUCAGCUCGUGCCGUGAGGUGUCGGGUUAAGUCCCGUAACGAGCGCAACCCCUGCCCCUAGUUGCUACGGCGUAAGGCCGGGCACUCUAGGGGGACUGCCGGCGAUAAGCCGGAGGAAGGGGGGGACGACGUGAGGUCAUCAUGCCCCUUAAGCCCUGGGCGACACACGUGCUACAAUGGCCAGGACAGAGGGCAGCGACCCCGCAAGGGGUAGCAAAUCCCUAAACCUGGUCCCAGUUCGGAUUGCGCUCUGAAACUCGAGCGCAUGAAGCCGGAAUCGCUAGUAACGGCCGGUCAGCCAUACGGCCGUGAAUACGUUCCCUGGCCGUGUACACACCGCCCGUCACGCCCCGGAAGCCGGCUCUGCCAGAAGUCCUGGGGCUAACCCGCAAGGGAGGCCCGGGACGAAGGCAGGGUUGGUGACUGGGGCGAAGUCGUAACAAGGUAGCCGUAGGGGAACCUGCGGCUG
rnacentral:rRNA from 1 species